GUACUCGCUUUGGCAGCACAUAUAAUAAAAUAGGAAUGAUACAGAGAAGAUCAGCAUGGCCCCUGCACAAGGAUGACAUGCAAAUUCAUGAAGCGUUCCAUAUUUUU
ensembl:snRNA U6 U6 spliceosomal RNA